CUACGCAAUUGCACCAAAACCCUCUCUGUGCUGUGGAGGUAAUAUAUAGCUGUCAACAUAUAUACGUCCAAAGCACUGAGGGGGUUUUACUCACUCAUCAUCGAG
rnacentral:pre_miRNA from 1 species